rnacentral:rRNA from 1 species
GGAAUCUUCCACAAUGGACGAAAGUCUGAUGGAGCAACGCCGCGUGAGUGAAGAAGGAUUUCGGUUCGUAAAACUCUGUUGCAAGGGAAGAACAAGUAGCGUAGUAACUGGCGCUACCUUGACGGUACCUUGUUAGAAAGCCACGGCUAACUACGUGCCAGCAGCCGCGGUAAUACGUAGGUGGCAAGCGUUGUCCGGAAUUAUUGGGCGUAAAGCGCGCGCAGGUGGUUCCUUAAGUCUGAUGUGAAAGCCCCCGGCUCAACCGGGGAGGGUCAUUGGAAACUGGGGAACUUGAGUGCAGAAGAGGAUAGUGGAAUUCCAAGUGUAGCGGUGAAAUGCGUAGAGAUUUGGAGGAACACCAGUGGCGAAGGCGACUGUCUGGUCUGUAACUGACACUGAGGCGCGAAAGCGUGGGGAGCAAACAGGAUUAGAUACCCCGGUAGUCC